UAUUUCUUUGGUGACUAAUGGGUAA
rnacentral:piRNA from 1 species